CCUACGGGAGGCUGCAGUGAGGAAUAUUGGUCAAUGGACGAGAGUCUGAACCAGCCAAGUAGCGUGAAGGAUGACUGCCCUAUGGGUUGUAAACUUCUUUUAUAUGGGAAUAAAACAGGGUAUGCAUACCCUCUUGUAUGUACCAUAUGAAUAAGGAUCGGCUAACUCCGUUCAAGCAGCCGCGGUAAUACGGAGGAUCCGAGCGUUAUCCGGAUUUAUUGGGUUUAAAGGGAGCGUAGGUGGAUUGUUAAGUCAGUUGUGAAAGUUUGCGGCUCAACCGUAAAAUUGCAGUUGAAACUGGCAGUCUUGAGUACAGUAGAGGUGGGCGGAAUUCGAUGUGUAGCGGUGAAAUGCUUAGAUAUAACGAAGAACUCCGAUUGCGAAGGCAGCUCACUGGACUGCAACUGACACUGAUGCUCGAAAGUGUGGGGAUCAAACAGGAUUAGAUACCCGGGUAGUC
rnacentral:rRNA from 1 species